rnacentral:rRNA from 1 species
GAUGAACGCUGGCGGCGUGCCUAAUACAUGCAAGUCGAGCGAACGGACGAGAAUCUUGUUUCUCUGAUGAUAGCGGCGGACGUGUGAGUAACACGUGGAUAACCUCCCUAUAAGACUGGGAUAACUUCGGGAAACCGGAGCUAAUACCGGAUAAUAUUCUGAACCGCAUUGUUCAUAAGUGAAAGACGGUCUUGCUGUCACUUAUAGAUGGAUCUGCGCUGCAUUAGCUAGUUGUUAAGGUAACGGCUUACCAAGGCAACGAUGCAUAGCCGACCUGAGAGGCUGAUCGCCCACACUGGAACGGGAACACGGUCCAGACUCCUGCGAGAGGGAGCAGUAGGGAAUCUUCCGCAAUGGGCGAAAUCCUGACGGAGCAACGCCGCGUGAGAGAUGGAGGUCUUCGGAUCGUAAAACUCUGUUAUUAGGGAAGAACAUAUGUGUAAGUAAAUGUGCAGAUCUUGACGGUACCUAAUCAGAAAGCCACGGCUAACUACGUG